CAGUCGCCACGGUAAUACGUAGGGUGCGAGCGCUAAUCGGAAUUACUGGGCGUAAAGCGUGCGCAGGCGGUUAUAUAAGACAGAUGUGAAAUCCCCGGGCUCAACCUGGGACCUGCAUUUGUGACUGUAUAGCUAGAGUACGGUAGAGGGGGAUGGAAUUCCGCGUGUAGCAGUGAAAUGCGUAGAUAUGCGGAGGAACACCGAUGGCGAAGGCAAUCCCCUGGACCUGUACUGACGCUCAUGCACGAAAGCGUGGGGAGCAAACAGGAUUAGAUACCCCAGUAGUCCCUGUCUCUUAUAC
rnacentral:rRNA from 1 species